CCAGUUAGCGCUGCCUUCCCUUCAGGCACAGGGCGACGGGGACACUUCAUGAUCUCACAGGGUCGCUGGAUGAGAACAGUAAACGCAUUAGCCAUGCAGCUGCUCCCCCUGACUUCCCUACGAGGCACCUGCUGGUGCUUUUGCCUCCCUUGUUUGCCCUUUCCUUGUUAGCAUGGCUGGACUGCAGAGGCUACUGAAGCGAGGACUUGUGCUCCUGAUCACGCACACGCACUUGCACCUGCAGCCUAUGUGGGGAAAACUCUUGAGGUUGUGGGCACCAGCGCCCCCUGCUGGACCUGGGGGCUCUGUGGCCGGGCCUGGAAAUCAACCAUAGGAGACUGACACCGUCCUGCUCCUAGGGCAGUUAAGAAGGAGCUGGGAUCCAGUUGCAGGAAGAAGGGGCAGGGCCUGUCUCCAGCCCAACUCCAGGAUCUCCGGCUCCUGUGUGGGAGCCCCCGUUCCUCACCAGCCAGCCAAGGCUGAAUCCUACCUUUCCACAAGCAGUUUCUACGAUGAGCAGAUGGGACCUGAUUGGCUAUUGCGUUUCACAGCUUUGUAAAGACUUGUGGGAACUCAGUCUUGAGAGGGACUUGUAGCCAGUAGAGGUCAUUUUUCUGCUCUUCUGGCAGUUGUCCAGGCGGGAGCCUCCGUGUUGCUCUGAAGCUAUUUUCCUAUAUGUGCUUAGCUUCUGCAGUCAGUUCGCUGUAAGCAGAAGCAAUUAUUUUUUGAAAUCUGGAUGGAUGGGCAGGCCUUGUCCAAUCAGGUGAAGGACAUCAGGAGCCAAACUGCAGAAGAAAAAAAAUGCUGCUUGUGGGCAACAGCAUCAGGUGUGGCCUGAGGGAGAUUGCAGUUAGGAUAUAGACCCAAGUUUGAGGUCCGUGAGGUCAAGUUUGAAGACUGGACUAGGGCUGGAAGAAUGGCUCACCCAGGACGGUUUUUUUUUUUUUCUGGGUUGAACAGGUGCAAAAUGGCUCUCGAUUUGGUUUGAAUUCACUGUCCUUAAUUAGCAGAAGCUCAAGCAUUCUUUGUGCCUUCAUUGUCCCUCAUGUUCUCACUCUGGAAAGGCAUGUUGUGUGUCUUUCCCAAGCCGCUGCAGGUGACUGGUGGCUGGACUUCCCUUCAGUCCCAGUAAUGAGGCGCGUCUGAAGUUUGUGAAGCCAUAACCUACCGAUACCAAGACCAGACCACUGCGGACACAUCCACAGCACAGAGGUCAGGCGAGUUCAGAUUACCGAGUGCAAAACAAGCCUGGCCCUGCUAUGAAACAGCCAGUUCAGCAGCUGAUUUAG